rnacentral:lncRNA from 10 species
UAUCAAUCAUGUAGUCUAGGCUAUACAUAAAAUAAAUAUAUGCAGGUUUUCAACCACAUGAAUGUCCAGCAGGACAUCUGAAAGGCAUCCAGGACUCAGGAAAAUUUACUAUUUUCUGUGUCUACUUCACAUAUUGUAGGAUGCCUGCAACUUCCAGACUUGACUCAUUAAAUGACAGUAGUAUCUCCCCAGUUGUGACAACCUAAAUCACUCCCAAAGAUUUCUGAAAAGCCUUCUGAUAGUCAUAUUCCUUCUGAGAACCAAUGUCUGAUAGAAAUAUCAAGCCAACACUCUUCAACGCUUUCCCACAGAAUUUGUGCUGUGGUCCCCACAAGGGAUGCCCUAGUGUCACUUUCUUCCCGGAUACACCCUUUAUCCCUUAUAGAGCUCAUACAGUCCCUCACCUUCAACGUGGCCUGCCUUUAGCCUGCUGGCUGGACCAGAACUCUCCUACUUCUGAAUUCCCAUUACAUUGAUUAUUUCUAGGGUUCAUAUCAACAACUAAUUAUCUGCUAACCCAUGCUGAUAUUUAAAAGCCUUAUGAACAUACCUUAUUCUCCCAAAUCAACAGAAAAGCCCUUCAAAGAAGUCUUUUUAGUAUUUUCUAUCUCCAAAGUGCUAUGCAGGCACUGUGAGACCAAGGUUGAGUUAAUAAAGCUUAAAGUUUGAGGAAAUGGAUUCCAUACUUCUGGGAUGUAUGAAAAUGUAAAUGUGGAGCAAUCCAGACUGCAACUCAAGCUUCCAAGUCAUUUCUCCACCUAGAUGUAAUUCUCACUGUACAAAUUUACACCCACUCUCAUUCAGAUUGUCUAAUGGUGUUGCUCACACCCAUUUUGACCAUAUUUUUAUGACUUUCAGGAAUUAAAUCCAUCUACCUUUUCUAAAGCAGUAUUUCUCAAACUAUACUCUGUGUAUACUACCUGUGCAGAAUCGACUGGAGAUACCUGUUAAAAACAAAACAAAACCAAAACAAUACUGGAUGCUGUCCCCUGGAAUCCAUACUUUCAGAAACACUGCUCCGUCUAAUGUGUAUUCAACCAAUUAAGCUAAUUCCUUCAUCUUAAAAACCAUUCGCUAAUAUUUCCUGAAUGUGACUAGGCCUUUUUCAUUAAAUGGGGAAUCCAGUCAAAAUGAUAAGGCAGCCUCUAAAUCCAACCUUAUAAUCCUGCAGACCACAAACCUCAUGAAAACCAGGCAGGCCACAAGGGGUGGAAUUAUUCUGGUAGCUGACAUUUAGUGAUGCUGCCUAAUUGAUUUCAGGGCUUUGGCAUUUGCCAUUCGCCUGUUAGUUCAU